rnacentral:ncRNA from 1 species
CAGUAUCUUGUGCGCGUCGGUUCUGUCGGGCAGCAACCCGGUGGACUAAGAGGGAAGCUGGUGACGCCUGUCCGGGCCAUUCCAGCACUGCCCCGCAGCGGUAAUUGGGAACGACCCCGCCACACAGCACUGAGGCCGCCCGGCCUUGGGAAGCGGCGGAGAAGGAGGAGGCCUGCGCCUCCGCGCCCAUGAGUCCGAAGACCUGCCGACAGCCGCGCGAAGCA